rnacentral:rRNA from 1 species
UAACGAAUCUUCCGCAAUGCACGCAAGUGUGACGGAGCGACGCCGCGUGUGGGACGAAGUCCUUCGGGAUGUAAACCACUGUCAGGGGUUACCAAGUUCUGAGGAGCCCCAGAGGAAGGCACGGCUAACUCUGUGCCAGCAGCCGCGGUAAGACAGAGGUGCCGAGCGUUAGGCGGAAUCACUGGGCUUAAAGCGUGUGUAGGCGGACCGUUAAGUACCUUGUGAAAUCCCACGGCUCAACCGUGGAACGGCUGGGUAGACUGGCGGUCUUGGGCCACCUAGGGGCAGAUGGAACAGACGGUGGAGCGGUGAAAUGCGUAGAUAUCGUCUGGAACGCCAAAGGUGAAAACAGUCUGCUGGGGGUGUGCCGACGCUGAGACACGAAAGCCAGGGGAGCGAACGGGAUUAGAUACCCCCGUAGUCC